rnacentral:lncRNA from 1 species
ACCAAUGAAUGUGAAAGAUCUUCAUGUUGUUCAUAAAACAACCAGACCUGAAGCUACUCACUCAUGACUGGUGAUUUUGCUUUGGCCAGGACAAACAGGUAUCUGCAGAGCAGCUGCUGUAAUCAUGACAGAGAGUAUCUUCUCCAAAUGGAUGCAUGUGCCAAGACUAGGGAGUGCACAAUGUGGAAAAUAGCUCACCAAAGAAGAGAACAAAGCCACAACUACAAAGCUGCAGAGUCAGGAGCAGGGUGUCAGUCCCAGCCAAGAAGCCAGACAAGAGUUUGAGAUAAUCUCAGACUGCUACGCUGCUCAGAUUUCCAGAGGAAGCUGGAAGAGGCGAUGCUUGUUAAAUGCUGAAUGCUACAGAGAGAGACUCUAGGACCCUCUCCCUGGCACCACAGUAAUUUCUAGACACAAAAUCUUUGUACAUCAUAGACUCAGUUCUCUGUUCUCAUAGUUCGUUGUCUAGCUUCCUAAAGAAAGAAAACAAGACAAUAACUGUAUACUUAAAAGAACAAUUUUUUUCUGAAUAAGCAAAAGACUUUGCAUUGAAACAUCUCAGGGUUACAUUCUAACUCUUCUGAAUGCUCUUUGAGCUGCAGGCCUCUUGCUUGUAAUUAUUUUGGAAAAGCACAAAAUAUGAAUCUUGGGGUUUCUCCUCACCCCAUUCAUAAGAGAUUAUUAGCAAUUUGUACUCAAAAGAAUUCACAAUUCAAUUUUAUGGCAUAUUGUAGAAACAUUCUGCAUCUGACCCCAUAAUGCAAUGUACAGUAGGCAGUAUGCUACCAGGGGCCUGGAAGAGUCAUGAGACCAAAAGGUGAGAGGCUGGUCUUUGGAAGGCUGGUACUACUAGUAAAUAUCAACAAAAUAGACAAACUAUAUGGAUUUACAGUUCUUCUUAAGGAUGCAAAGUCCCUUGAUGCUUUAAAAACACACAGA